ACUGAUUUGCUGUCUCGAAGAAGGUCAGCAACCUCCAUUUUCCUAGGUCUAUAAAUGAAUGUGUGGAUAAUUGAAUGUUCUUGCUUCUCAACUAAUUUUUUGUUUUACACAUACAAUACAAGUGGCUGCUAUAUGUCGAGAAUUCAACAGGGGCAAGGUUCUUACAUAAUCUCAAAUGGCGUCGACAAAGGAGGAGCUUGAAGGCACUUGAUAUUCUUUUUCAUAUGUGUAUGCAUUAAUGACAUUGAACAAUGAACUAUUGUGAAAUAUAUAUUUUAUUGAUUUCUUAGUAAUGAAAGUACUUAUGAUAUUCGGUUUGGGAAUUA